UUGCAACCGGGUGAAACAACGGCAAGACCAGGAGAGCAACAGGCUUGAGAUCAGGAAAAAAAAAGAAGAAGAAAGAAAACACCACUCAUGAAAAUUACAUCAAACAUAUCACGGGCACAGUGACCCACAGACCUGAUGAGGCUAACAGUUCGAGACCUAACUGACCUGACUCGACCCGAUGGAUAAAGCCUUAAAUUGACUGCUCCCAGGUCGGACUCGGCGGACGGAAAGAUCUUUCGUUCUCUCGAGGCUUUUGUUAGAGGACCCUGGACGCCAAACCCUAGCGGCUAGCAACACCAUGAUCUACGACGUCAACUCUCCUCUCUUCCGCUCCUUCCUCAGCCAGAAGGGCGGCGUCUCCGACAAGAGGAGAUCUGAAGAACAAAAGCCAAAGGAGCAGAAGCCAAAGGCUAGCGAGAACAAGCCUGUGAUGACAGAAUGAGAACGGCGCGAGCAAGAAUGCCUGACCGAUGACAAUGGAUAUACUUCUCUCUACCGAUGGUUGACUUCUUAAGUAUUCUAUAGUCUUGGUUGGGAUUAUGAUAGGUUGUAAUCAUCUCCUUCCAGCUUAAACAUUAAUGCAUCCCUGACUUACUGACAUGGGUAUGUAAUCGGAAAGUUAUGAUACUUGAACACCUGUUACUCCGUCAUCGUACUAGAUUAAGCAGUUGAUCUUAGACUUUUCAUGUUUUUAGCUAAAGAUUACUGCGAAGUCAUUCUCAUAUGCCAGAGGAAACUGGUGGUGGCCUGUUCUUGCCUGUUUCUUUUGUUUGGUAGCAGGGUACAUGGACCUUUGUGGCCUUCAAGUGCUGAUCCCUGAUGGAAUCCAAAGUCUUGUCAGCUUAAUAGGUGCUGCCCUGUCAGAUCUCUAGUACAAGAAUGGUUUCAUGGCAAUUUGAUUACCUUCCAGUCUACCACUAAUCACAAGACAAGUCACUAUUUACACGACACUGAUGGUAUGAUUUCCUGUCCUGGAACAGGAAGUUCUGAAUAAAUUUAACAAGAUUUAUUGGUAUGAUCUAUGAAACAAUAGGUGCUACAAAGCCAUUCCAUAUCCAUACAGCCAAAGUACGUACAGUAGCAAUAGUAGGGGAGAGUGAAGAGAAAUUGGCGGUGGUUGCUGUGGUGGAGAGAGGAUCCGAGGUGUCCAAAUUAAUCAGAAGGGGACAUGUGGGGCACGCGGAAGGGCCAAAGCAACGACCAAGGACUGAAGGGCAGAAGACUUGUGAUUGGGCUCAAGGUCACUCCCACUCGAUUACAGUGAGAGAGAGAGAGAGAGGGGUAUCAUCAAUUAUAUCCAUGUGCAUGUUUACACUCCUCCCCUCCCAUCUCACCUCUCCUUUUCUUUGUCAAAACCUAUUCCCAUGGGUUUUUUUCAUCCCUCUCAAACUUUAUUUUUACCUUUUUCCUCUUACUGGGGACUCUUAAGGCAACAUAGUCAAUCGAUUAGUAUCGCUGGGAUGUGAGAGGAGGGGCGGGGGAGGGAUGGGACCUCAUGACAUCUGUUGGAUGACAGAGGAUUGUAACGUGCUUUUAGAUUGUGCAUGUAUAUUGGAAGACGAUUAAAGCUGCAAAUUGGAUCGCCAUCUUUGCCAUCUAGCACUUCAAAAAGAUUCUCUAGACACAUUAGGGGUCUCUUCUCUACUGUUGUGUCAUUUUCUCAUUCUGGUUGCAUCUAAACUAGAGUAGGAUGAGCAGAUGUUGUAAAAAUAAUAAUAAUAAUAAUAAUAGAUCAGUGGGAUGGGAUCAUCAUGGUUGGACUUUCUUGAUGUCUCUCUACCAUCUAGACUUGCCGCUAUAAACCAUAUCAACGGAAUCCUACGCUACCAUUGCAAGAAGGGAAAAAUGUGCACAAAUUAGGAAAGCAUUGUCCUUCGGAAAGUUGCUCUUGGUAGCCUUUCCCAUCCCCGCUUUACUCACGCCCACCCCAAUUCACGCUUUAGUUCUUUUUUCCUCGCCCAAAAGCAGCAUCACAAUUACCACCCUGCUUCUCUUCUUCUACCUCUCUCCCAUCCUUUCACCUUCGCCUCCCUACAACAAAGAAAGCUGAGGAGAAGAAGACAUGACCCAGCUGUGCAGCUCUGACACCCACCUCCUCCUGGGCCUCCUCUUCUAUGACUUGCUAUCCCUGUGCUCCUUCUUAGCCUCCCAUCCCCUCCACUUGGCUUACUUCCUCUUCUUCUUCCCUUACCUUUUCCGACUUCUCUCAUUCUUCUACCCACUCCUCCUCUCCACCUCCCUCCUCCUCCUCGUCCUCCUCACCAUCUCUCCCCAGCUGGAUGAUCCCCCUCGCGGACCGCCCGGAUUACUUCGAAACACUUGCUCCAUUGUCUUCCACCUUCUCAAGGCAAAGCUUGAAAGCCAUGCCCCUGUCGAGCUACUAGACCAACUGGCCUCGAUGGUUCUCGCACCAAUUGACGACGCAGGCCCAUACUUCCAAGAGCCUGUCAUGCCGGCGUGCGUUGGUGCAGAGGUGUUUGAGCUGCAGUUCGGAACCAAGGGCGACUUCUGCAAACCUUCUAGUGUAGUAGUAAGUUGUGCGGUAGAAGAGAUCCCAAGUAAGCCUGGUCUGGAGAAUUCUCAAAAGGGUGAACUUUUGGCUUCCAAUUAUGGAAUUGGAGAGAACCCACUCAUGGAUCCUAAAGAGAAUGAGCUUUUGGUACCCCAUUCCGACGGUACACAGUUAACCAACAAAGUUGCCGAAGAUUCGUCGACAGCUUUUGAGCCUGAAAACUCAUGCAGGAUGCCUGAGCCGGCUGCUGACAGUGUAGGAGGAGAACUUAUGAGAUCCACUUCAAGGAGAAGAAGACAGAGUACAUGCAGAGGUUCGGAUGGCCUUCAAAGAGAUAAUUCUAUGAGAAAAGAAAAAGAGUGGAAGAGGACAUUAGCUUGCAAGCUUUACGAGGAGCGUAUGACGUAUAAGCUAUGCGAGGAGCGAACGGUUGCUGAAGGAGGUGAAGAGAUGGAUUUGCUUUGGGAGGCUUAUGAGGUGAAUGCUUCCAAGGAUGGUAAGUUGAUGAGCAAUGGAAGAAAAGGAAAGAAAGAUGAGCAGGAAGAGGAAGAUGAAGGGACAGUUGGGCAGCUGUGUUGCUUACAAGCAUUGAGACUGUCAGCAGGAAAGAUGAAUUUGGGAGUUGGGAGGCCUAAUUUAGUGAAGAUAUCCAAGGUCUUGAAAGGGAUGGCAAUGUUUAAGCGUGUGGGCAGGCAUAGUAGCAGAAAGGAAUGAAAUUGAGCUACCUACAGUGAAGAAGCUUACAAGAGCAGGUCGGACUCGGCGAACCGAAAGAUCUCUCGCUCUCUCGAGGCUUUUAUCGGAGGACCCUGGAUGCCAAACCAUAGCGGCUGGCAACACCAUGAUCUACGAUGUCAACUCUCCUCUCUUCCGCUCCUUUCUCAGCCAGAAGGGCGGCGUCUCCGACAAGAGAUUUGAGCCCCAUCUGAAGGUCAGGACUUUCAAUAUCUAGCUGUAUGAUUGCUUACAAUGCAGGAAAUUUUGUGGCUUUAAUCGAUGCCACGGAGAUCUGAAGAACAAAAGCCAAAGGAGCAAGGGCCAAAGGCUAGCGAGAACAAGCCUGUGAUGACAGAAUGAGAACGACGCGAAUGAGAAUGCUUCUCCUCUACUGAUGGUAGACUUCUUAAAGUAUUCUAUAGUCUUGGUUGGGAUUAUGAUAGGUUGUAGCCAUCUCCUUCUAGCUUAAACUUUAAUGCAUCCUUGACUUACCGACAUGGGUAUGUAAUCGGAAAGUUAUGAAACUUAAACAACUGCUACUCCUCCAUUGUACUAGAUUAAGCAGUUGAUCUUAGACUUUUCAUGCUUUAAGCUAAA